rnacentral:rRNA from 1 species
AUUGAACGCUGGCGGCAUGCUUUACACAUGCCAGUCGAACGGCAGCGCGGGCUUCGGCCUGGCGGCGAGUGGCGAACGGGUGAGUAAUGCAUCGGAACGUGCCCAGUAGUGGGGGAUAGCCCGGCGAAAGCCGGAUUAAUACCGCAUACGACCUGAGGGUGAAAGCGGGGGACCGAAAGGCCUCGCGCUAUUGGAGCGGCCGAUGUCGGAUUAGCUAGUUGGUGGGGUAAAGGCUUACCAAGGCGACGAUCCGUAGCUGGUCUGAGAGGACGACCAGCCACACUGGGACUGAGACACGGCCCAGACUCCUACGGGAGGCAGCAGUGGGGAGUUUUGGACAAUGGGGGCAACCCUGAUCUAGCCAUGCCGCGUGCGGGAAGAAGGCCUUCGGGUUGUAAACCGCUUUUGUUCGGGAAGAAAUCCUCUGGGCUAAUACCCCGGGGGGAUGACGGUACCGGAAGAAUAAGCACCGGCUAACUACGUG